rnacentral:rRNA from 1 species
UACGUAGGUGGCGAGCGUUGUCCGGAAUUAUUGGGCGUAAAGGGCGCGUAGGCGGUCGUUUAAGUCAGGUGUGAAAGCCCCCGGCUCAACUGGGGAGAGCCACCUGAUACUGGGCGACUAGAGUGCAGGAGAGGAAAGUGGAAUUCCAUGUGUAGCGGUGAAAUGCGUAGAUAUAUGGAGGAACACCAGUGGCGAAGGCGGCUUUCUGGACUGCAACUGACGCUGAGGCGCGAAAGCUGGGGGAGCAAACGGGAUUAGAUACCCCGGUAGUCCCAGCCGUAAACGAUGGAUGCUAGGUGUGGGGGGUAUCGACCCCUUCCGUGCCGCAGUUAACACAAUAAGCAUCCCGCCUGGGGAGUACGGCCGCAAGGUUGAA